rnacentral:rRNA from 1 species
GUGGGGAAUAUUGCACAAUGGGGGAAACCCUGAUGCAGCGACGCCGCGUGAGUGAAGAAGGGUUUCGGCUCGUAAAGCUCUGUUGUCGGGGACGAAUGUGCAGUAUUUGAAUAAAGUACUGCAAUGACGGUACCUGACGAGGAAGCCACGGCUAACUACGUGCCAGCAGCCGCGGUAAUACGUAGGUGGCAAGCGUUGUCCGGAAUUAUUGGGCGUAAAGGGAGCGCAGGCGGGAAGGUAAGUCGGUCUUAAAAGUGCGGGGCUCAACCCCGUGAUGGGAUCGAAACUAUCUUUCUUGAGUGCAGGAGAGGAAAGUGGAAUUCCUAGUGUAGCGGUGAAAUGCGUAGAUAUUAGGAGGAACACCAGUGGCGAAGGCGACUUUCUGGACUGUAACUGACGCUGAGGCUCGAAAGCCAGGGGAGCGAACGGGAUUAGAAACCCGAGUAGUCC